ACGGGAGGCAGCAGUGGGGAAUAUUGCACAAUGGGCGAAAGCCUGAUGCAGCGACGCCGCGUGAGCGAAGAAGUAUUUCAGUAUGUAAAGCUCUAUCAGCAGGGAAGAGUAAUGACGGUACCUGACUAAGAAGCACCGGCUAAAUACGUGCCCGCAGCCGCGGUACUACGUAUGGUGCAAGCGUUAUCCGGAUUUACUGGGUGUAACGGGAGCGCAGGCGGUACGGCAAGUCUGAUGGGAAAGCCCGGGGCUCAACCCCGGUACUGCAUUGGAAACUGUCGAACUAGAGUGUCGGAGGGGUAAGUGGAAUUCCUAGUGUAGCGGUGAAAUGCGUAGAUAUUAGGAGGAACACCAGUGGCGAAGGCGGCUUACUGGACGAUCACUGACGCUGAGGCUCGAAAGCGUGGGGAGCAAACAGGAUUAGAUACCCUGGUA
rnacentral:rRNA from 1 species